rnacentral:rRNA from 1 species
CCCUGCCAUUUGUACACACCGCCCGUCACUUCUACCGAUUCGAGUGGUUCGGCGAAUGCUUCGGAUCGACCCGCAAGGUGUCGAAAAGUUGUGUAAGCCAUAUCACUUAGAGGAAGGAUAAGGCGUAA